rnacentral:piRNA from 1 species
UUUGAUAUUUGUAAAAAACUG